rnacentral:rRNA from 1 species
UCAGGACGAACGCUGGCGGCGUGCUUAACACAUGCAAGUCGAACGGUGACGGUCAAGCUUGCUUGGCCUGAUCAGUGGCGAACGGGUGAGUAACACGUGAGUAACCUGCCCCAGACUCUGGGAUAACCCCGGGAAACCGGAGCUAAUACCGGAUAUGACACCAGGUCGCAUGGCCAUGGUGUGGAAAGUUUUUCGGUCUGGGAUGGACUCGCGGCCUAUCAGCUUGUUGGUGAGGUAGUGGCUCACCAAGGCGACGACGGGUAGCCGGCCUGAGAGGGCGACCGGCCACACUGGGACUGAGACACGGCCCAGACUCCUACGGGAGGCAGCAGUGGGGAAUAUUGCACAAUGGGCGGAAGCCUGAUGCAGCGACGCCGCGUGAGGGAUGACGGCCUUCGGGUUGUAAACCUCUUUCAGCAGGGAAGAAGCGCAAGUGACGGUACCUGCAGAGAG